AACGUAGGAGACAAACGUUAUCCGGAGUUACUGGGCGUAAAGGGCGUGUAGGUGGUUUCGUAAGUCUGGCGUGAAAUUUUUCGGCUUAACCGGGAAAGGUCGUCGGAUACUGCAGAACUAGAGGACGGUAGAGGCGUGUGGAAUUCCGGGUGUAGUGGUGAAAUGCGUAGAGAUCCGGAGGAACACCGGUGGCGAAGGCGGGUCUCUGGGCCGAUACUGACGCUGAGGAGCGAAAGCGUGGGGAGCGAACAGG
rnacentral:rRNA from 1 species